rnacentral:lncRNA from 1 species
GGGCCGCCCUCGUUCCUCCCGGAGCGCAGCGACAGCUCCUCCCCGCGUCUCGGGUUUCAAUGGCUGGGCCUGCCCGAAAGCUCUGGGCCCCCGCGUCCCAAUUUUUUCUUUAUUUUUGAAGGAUAAUAUUGCUGGACAUAGAAUUCUUUGUUGACAUUGGUCAGCUCUUUGAAUAUGUCAUCCAGUAUCUUCUGGCCUCCGUGGUUUAUGGUUUUGGCAGAGUUCAAAGACUGGGAAGCAAAGUUCAGCCAUGUUGGGCCUUUGGGCUCAUAGAUGAGCAAGGGUACCCCAAUAUGAGGGCUCAGCAAAUUCUGGAACUUAUCAGUUCUGAAGACCUUUAGAGGAGAAGGAGACAAGUAAAAGGGUUGGCCUUGCGUAUUGGCAAUGAAACAGGCUAUUUUUGACAUUGAGUUGUCCAGCAUUCUCUAAGGUAUGUAGUCCUGGAGGGCGCUGCUUAAUGAACCAGAAGUCCUGCCUCUUAAGUACCUCACCAGCUCAAAUGUGUGCAUGUCACCUUGGCGUGAAUCGGAGCAGGCGCUGGUGGAUACCGUUUGGAGGCAUGCCAGCAAGGAGCUCCUUGUGUAGCCUGCCUCUGGAGCCUCAAGUUCAACUUCCAUAGGGCCAAAAGGGGAGUCGGGCUGGGCAGAAGCUCCUGAGAACCAAAGCAAAUGGUCUGAGAGUCUGAGAGUGUAGUGGAGGUAACGUGUUCGUGUCCUCUCUGGCUGCAUCACCCCAAGUCCUUGCAGACUCAAGUAGCCUAUUUGCAAGUUUAAAUAGUUUGAGUCCUGGCCGGUAACAAGAAUACUCUACAGUGGCCCAGAGUCAGGGAUAUAGAGUGGCGACUACUUGGCAGAACUGGAGCUUGCUCAGAUGAAAAGAUAAAUUGUACUGGUUAAACG